UAAUAUCCUUAGAACCUCGGUUUUUAGGAUCAAAGGUGGCCUCUACAUGUAAGCUACUGUUUGAAGAUGAGCCCGCGUACCAUUAGCUUGUUGGCAGGGUAAUGGCCUACCAAGGCAACGAUGGUUAGCUGGUCUGAGAGGAUGAUCAGCCACACUGGAACUGACACACGGUCCAGACUCCUACGGGAGGCAGCAGUGAGGAAUUUUGCGCAAUGGGGGAAACCCUGACGCAGCAACGCCGCGUGAGUGAUGAAGGCUUUCGGGUCGUAAAGCUCCGUCAAGUGGGAAGAACCUGCAGUAUGUUAAUAUCAUAUUGCACUGACGGUACCACUGAAGGAAGCACCGGCUAACUCCGUGCCAGCAGCCGCGGUAAUACGGGGGGUGCAAGCGUUAUUCGGAAUCAUUGGGCGUAAAGAGCACGUAGGCGGCUUGGUAAGUCAGAUGUGAAAGCCCGGGGCUUAACCCCGGAAGUGCAUUUGAUACUGUCAAGCUUGAGUAUGGGAGAGGGAAGUGGAAUUCCUGGUGUAGAGGUGAAAUUCGUAGAUAUCAGGAGGAACACCGGUGGCGAAGGCGACUUCCUGGACCAAUACUGACGCUGAGGUGCGAAGGCGUGGGUAGCAAACAGGAUUAGAUACCCUGGUAGUCCACGCAGUAAACGUUGUUCACUAGGUGUAGCGGGUAUUGACCCCUGCUGUGCCGCAGUUAACGCAUUAAGUGAACCGCCUGGGGAGUACGGCCGCAAGGUUAAAACUCAAAGGAAUUUUNAG
rnacentral:rRNA from 1 species